UAACGCGUGAGUAACCUGCCCUGGAGUGGGGGACAACAGUUGGAAACGACUGCUAAUACCGCAUAAGCCCACGAUCCGGCAUCAGAUUGAGGGAAAAGGAUUUAUUCGCUUCAGGAUGGACUCGCGUCCAAUUAGCUAGUUGGUGAGGUAACGGCCCACCAAGGCGACGAUUGGUAGCCGGACUGAGAGGUUGAACGGCCACAUUGGGACUGAGACACGGCCCAGACUCCUACGGGAGGCAGCAGUGGGGGAUAUUGCACAAUGGGGGAAACCCUGAUGCAGCGACGCCGCGUGGAGGAAGAAGGUUUUCGGAUUGUAAACUCCUGUCGUUAGGGACGAUAAUGACGGUACCUAACAAGAAAGCACCGGCUAACUACGUGCCAGCAGCCGCGGUAAAACGUAGGGUGCAAGCGUUGUCCGGAAUUACUGGGUGUAAAGGGAGCGCAGGCGGACCGGCAAGUUGGAAGUGAAAACUAUGGGCUCAACCCAUAAAUUGCUUUCAAAACUGCUGGCCUUGAGUAGUGCAGAGGUAGGUGGAAUUCCCGGUGUAGCGGUGGAAUGCGUAGAUAUCGGGAGGAACACCAGUGGCGAAGGCGACCUACUGGGCACCAACUGACGCUGAGGCUCGAAAGCAUGGGUAGCAAACAGGAUUAGAUACCCUGGUAGUCCAUGCCGUAAACGAUGAUUACUAGGUGUUGGAGGAUUGACCCCUUCAGUGCCGCAGUUA
rnacentral:rRNA from 1 species